AUUGAACGCUGGCGGCAGGCCUAACACAUGCAAGUCGAACGAGUGGCGGACGGGUGAGUAAUGUCUGGGAAACUGCCUGAUGGAGGGGGAUAACUACUGGAAACGGUAGCUAAUACCGCAUACCAUCGGAUGUGCCCAGAUGGGAUUAGCUAGUAGGUGGGGUAACGGCUCACCUAGGCGACGAUCCCUAGCUGGUCUGAGAGGAUGACCAGCAACAGUGGAACUGAGACAAGGUCCAGAAUCCUACGGGAGACAGCAGUGGAGAAUAUAGCACAAGGGGCGCUAGCCUGAUGCAGCCAUUGCGUGUGUAUGAAGAAGGCCUUCGGGUUGUAAAGUACUUUCCGCGGGGAGGCGUUACCCGCAGAAGAAGCACCGGCUAACUCCGUGCCAGCAGCCGCGGUAAUAC
rnacentral:rRNA from 1 species